GAUGAAUUUUUGUGUACAAAACACCAGUCAGCUGAGAGCGCGUCCCACAACAAGUUCGUCGAACACAACUAAAAAGUAUUAAAGAUACAAAAACACAAAGUGUUACUGUACAUAUACACAAACAUAUAUAAGGUUUUUUUCUUCUUUGCAAAUAACAACUUGAAAAAAAAAGACAAACAAAAAAAAAACCCCAACAACAGCUAUAUCCUUGAAGAGCAAGGACAUUUGAAAGCAAAGAUUUUUUAACGGAAUCUUUACUCUGAAAAAAGGAUAUAUUCUUAAAGCAGCAAAAAUCAUUUUAAGGGGUUAGGCCACUCAAGGUGCUGAAAAAAACUUCCUUAAUGCAGUCAACUUUGUAACUGUGCAACUUUGAAAAACAAAGGACGCCAUCGUGUCAGCAUACUCGAAUUAUCUUUAGUAAAUAAAAGCGCCAUCUGUCGACAAAAGCACAGUGUUAUUAACAUUACUUUGAGGCAGUACAAGGAAGUGUUUAGCUUACUCCAUAUUAACUAAGCGAAAAAGCGUAAAAUAACAGACAUUUAAAAAGUUUGUGUUCGUUUGUUUUUAAAGUAAAUAAAUAUAUGCAUUUUAUAUGUAUAAUAAAUUAUGAUACAAUCAAAUAUGUAAGUAUACGAACAUUGUUUUAAUUUAGCUUUGUUUCAUGUCAUUCUGAAUUAACAAAAAAAUAAUUACUUUAGCUUAAUGCCUUCAUGUUCUUCACAUGCAAUGCACUAUUCUGUUAGUAAUGCUAAAAGAAUGCGUAGUACGUUUGUAGGUACAUUGUAUUAACCUUAGUUGUGCUCCAGUAAUAUGCAUACUGGCAACAUACAAGGACAACAUUUAGGUAAAUAAAAUUGAGUAUCCUUGACAAAAACUCAUAAUGUCAAGCAAAUUGUAAUUAGAAAAUAUAUCUAAAUUUUUUUGAAUAUUUAGUCAUAAAUGAUAAUUGAGGGUGUAACUCAUAGUCGUCGCUGAAGUACCUAAGUUUUUUCUCAAUCACACGCCUGGAGAAGAAUUUUCUGAGUGUAUUUUCUUGCAUUUACUUGACGAUUAAUUGAAAUGGCAGGAGAAAAUGUUCACUUGAGAAAAAUCUUGAAUUCAGUGACAACUAUGAAUUUCGUGAAUGGUUUUCAAAAUGUUGAAUUUCAAUACUCAUAGCGACUCAAAAGUUUCUCCAUAAACGGGAAAAAAAAUAUUUCCAAAGUUUUUUAAGUCUUUUUGAGUAUCUAUACAGGCAUAUGCCCGUACCGACUACAUUUUCAAUGUUUUUAUACAAAUUACAAUGGUUUACAAGGGUUUUGUUGCCGAAACAAAAAUAUACUUUUCUGAAGGUUUUCGGUGUGCUGAACUCGAAUCCGAAGUCAGAAACAACUAAUCAGCUCAAGUUUUUG